GUUUUCCCGAAAGGAUUACCCUCUAAGGGGACUGCCCCGGACAACGGGGAGGAAGGUGGGGAUGACGUCAAGUCCGCAUGCUCCUUACGUCUAGGGCUACACACGUCCUACAAUGGGGUCGACAGUGGGAUGCAAAGCCGCGAGGUGGAGCCAAUCCCCAAACGGCCUCUCAGUUCGGAUAGUAGUCUGCAACUCGACUACUUGAAGUCGGAAUCGCUAGUAAUGGCGGAUCAGCAUGCCGCCGUGAAUACGUUCCCGGGUCUU
rnacentral:rRNA from 1 species